rnacentral:rRNA from 1 species
CCUACGGGAGGCAGCAGUGAGGAAUAUUGGUCAAUGGGCGCAAGCCUGAACCAGCCAAGUAGCGUGCAGGAUGACGGCCCUAGGGGUUGUAAACUUCUUUUAUCCGGGGAUAAAGUGAGUCACGUGUGACUUUUUGUAUGUACUUUAUGAAUAAGGAACGGCUAAUUCCGUGCCAGCAGCCGCGGUAAUACGGAGGGUCCGGGCGUUAUCCGGAUUUAUUGGGUUUAAAGGGAGCGUAGAGGGGUUGUUAAGUCAGUUGUGAAAUGCUGGGGCUUAACCGUACAAUUGCAAGUGAUACUGGCAGGCUUGAGUGCUGUGGAGGUAGGCGGAAUUCGUGGUGUAGCGGUGAAAUGCUUAGAUAUCACGAAGAACUCCGAUUGCGAAGGCAGCCUACUGAACAGAUACUGACGCUGAGGCUCGAAAGUGUGGGUAUCAAACAGGAUUAGAUACCCGAGUAGUC